AUGGGAACGCGAAGAACCUUACCUAGACUUGACAUCUUCUGCAUUAAUCGUAAUGGAUGAAAUCCCUUCGGGGACGAGAAUGACAGGUGGUGCAUGGUUGUCGUCAGCUCGUGUCGUGAGAUGUUGGGUUAAGUCCCGCAACGAGCGCAACCCCUACUUAUUAGUUGUCUAACAUUAAGUUGAGCACUCUAGUGAGACUGCCCGGGUUAACCGGGUAGGAAGGUGGGGAGUGACGUCAAAUACAUCAUGCCCCUUACUGUCUAGGGCUACACACGUGCUACAAUGGUGGGAACGAAAGAGAUGCAAUACCGCAAGGUGGAGCUAAACUCAAAACCCCACUCCCAGUUCGGAUUGUAGGCUGCAACUCGCCUACAUGAAGUUGGAGUUGCUAGUAAUCGCGAAUCAGAAUGUCGCGGUGAAUACGUUCCCGGGUCUUGUACACACCG
rnacentral:rRNA from 1 species